GACGAACGCUGGCGGCGUGCCUAAUACAUGCAAGUCGAGCGAAGCGGCGGAUGGGUGAGUAACGCGUGGGUAACCUGCCCUUAAGUCUGGGAUACCCUUUGGAAAAAGACGCUAAUACCGGAUACUGAAGGAUAGACAUGCGAUGCCUUCGCUAGUUGGGAAGGUAACGGCUUACCAAGGCGAUGAUGCAUCGCCGAUUUGAGAGACUUAUCGGCCACAUUGGGACUGAGACACGGCCCAAACUCCUACGGGAGGCAGCAGUAGGGAAUCUUCCACAAUGGACGAAAGUCUGAUGGAGCAACGCCGCGUGAGUGAAGAAGGUUUUCGGAUCGUAAAGCUCUGUUGUUGGUGAAGCGGUAAUCAACCAGAAAGUCACGGCUAACUACGUGCCAGCAGCCGCGGUAAUUC
rnacentral:rRNA from 1 species